rnacentral:rRNA from 1 species
AUGAACGCUAGCGGCAGGCUUAAUACAUGCAAGUCGUGGGGCAGCAUGUCCGCAGCAUGCGGGAUGAUGGCGACCGGCAAACGGGUGCGGAACACGUACACAACCUUCCUUCGGAGUGGGGAAUAGCCCCGGGGAAAACACCCGGAUUAAUACCCCGUAAUAUAGUGAAGUGGCAUCAUUUUACUAUUAUAGCUCCGGCGCUUGAAGAUGGGUGUGCGACUGAUUAGGCAGUUGGCGGGGUAACGGCCCACCAAACCUACGAUCAGUAACUGGUGUUGAGAGCACGACCAGUCACACGGGCACUGAGACACGGGCCGACUCCCUACGGGAGGCAGCAGUAAGGAAUAUUGGUCAAUGGACGCAAGUCUGAACCAGCCAUGCCGCGUGGAGGAUGAAGGUCCUCUGGAUUGUAAACUCUUUUAUCUGGGAAGAAAUCCAUGAAUUCUUUUGUGGUUGACGGUACCAGAUGAAUAAGCACCGGCUAACUCCGUGCCAGCAGCCGCGGUAAUACGGAGGGUGCAAGCGUUGUCCGGAUUCACUGGGUUUAAAGGGUGCGUAGGUGGGCUGGUAAGUCAGUGGUGAAAUCUCCAGGCUUAAACUUGGAAACUGCCAUUGAUACUAUCAGUCUUGAAUACCGUGGAGGUCAGCGGAAUAUGUCAUGUAGCGGUGAAAUGCUUAGAUAUGACAUAGAACACCAAUUGCGAAGGCAGCUGGCUACACGAAUAUUGACACUGAUGCACGAAAGCGUGGGGAUCAAACAGGAUUAGAUACCCUGGUAGUCCACGCCCUAAACGAUGGAUACUCGACAUACGCGAUAUACUGUGUGUGUCUGAGCGAAAGCAUUAAGUAUCCCACCUGGGAAGUACGAUCGCAAGAUUGAAACUCAAAGGAAUGACGGGGGCCCGCACAAGCGGUGGAGCAUGUGGUUCACAUUCGACGCAACGCGAAGAACCUUACCCAGGCUUGAACGCGAGUGACCAACUCCGAAAGGGGUCUUCCGCAAGGACACUCGUAGAGGUGCUGCAUGGCUGUCGUCAGCUCGUGUCGUGAGAUGUUGGGUUAAGUCCCGCAACGAGCGCAACCCUUGUUUGCUGUUGCCAUCACGUUAUGGUGGGCACUCUGCAAAGACUGCGGUGAUAACCGGAGGAAGGUGGGGAUGACGUCAAGUCAGCAUGGCCUUUAUGUCCAGGGCUACACACGUGCUACAAUGCACGGGUACAAACCGUCGCGCAAACCCGCGAGGGGGAGCUAAUCGGAGAAAGCCGUGCUCAGUUCGGAUUGGAGUCUGCAACCUCGACUCCAUGAAGCUGGAAUCGCUAGUAAUCGCUGAUCAGAACGGCAUGCGGUGAAUACGUUCCCGGGCCUUGUACACACCGCCCGUCACAGCACGAAAGUUGGUACCAUACCCUAAAGUCGAUUGUGCCAACCGCUAAGGGGGCAGGCUGCCUAAGGUAUAGUUCA